AUUAAUUAAUAUCUGAAACUAUCUGAAGAUAACUCUACCGAAGCGGAAUAUAAUAUGUACGAAUAAAGAAAAAUUACUUUUGUACUUAAGAGGUUCAAAAAGUUGACAGGAAAUUUAAGGAUCUUCAUGGAAUGGAAUCGAAAAAUUACGAAUAGAUAUUCUUUUCAAGUGUGAAAAACGUCAACCAAAUUUAUUCAUAAUCGGGAACGUCCUUAUUAAAAUCUGAGACUACUAUAAUGUGAAAACGUCAACCAAAUUUAUUCAUAAUCGGGAACGUCCUUAUUAAAAUCUGAGACUACUAUAUUAAUCGUCGUCUCCCAACGUAUAUAUAUACUUAAAUAAUUAUUUGACCAACGAUGUUUAAAAUUAAAAGACAACGAAUUUAAUGUUAUCUUUCCCUAGUUUUGAAUGUUAUUAUAAGUCUGUUCAACUUGCAAGAAUACCCCUAAAGCGGACAAAUAUCCGACAAGCAGUUUAUUCUUUAAAUUGCUGUCAUUGAAUAUCAAGAAAGAAAAUAAAUCCCGAAAUUGAUACUCAAUAGUUUUCCUAGAAAAUAUUCACAUCCCUUGGGGAUUAUUAGUGUACGUCCAGUUGCAUAUAUUUUACAUGAAUGUUGGAACAAUUGUGAUGAUGACGAAUUUGUCCUUUAUUCGAGAACAAUCUAAUUGAUAUAUAAAUCUGUGAGUUUACUAUGUUCUUAACUUCGAUGAACCAAAGCAAGUUAUAAAUUGACCUGUAUUUAAAUCAAAUUGUUUCUUUUUUUUCUUCUUCUUCUUUUGGUAUACAAUAGUCUAUCGAAUUCGUUGAUUACAUACUGUUGGCAUACGUGGACUAGUCUAUUUACAAAACUUUUACCACAAUUUACACAAAAUGUAUGUUUCUUUCUUAUGUUCAAUGUAUACAUAUUUUAAAUUGCGCUACUGACUAUAGUUCCGUAACUUUCUACCCAGGCGUGUGUAUACACGAAUCGUCGACAAGUGCGCACAUUUUUUUAAAUCAAUAAUUCUGGUAUGUUCCAAUCUGUCCUAAACUAUUGACAACGAGUAUAUAUUACAUUUUCCCAAAUUAAUCCUUGGAAAAAUAUGUAAAUAGAUUUGUAUUUCUUCAAAAAAAUAAAUUUGUAUUAUUUUUUUUUUAUAAAUAAUAUUCUUUACACCAGAAAUGUUAUUUAUAAACUAGCGUAUGAGUUCAGCAAUGACUAGUAUAUUAUAUCACUUUCGGACACGCAAGACAAAAAUGUGUUUUAUGCAUGCACCUCAUAGUUUAAAAUGGCAAGUUAUAAGUUACGGUCGUGUACACUGAUCACUACCUACAGAAGUGAAACGAUGCAUGAACUUGCAAGCCCGCCGGACAGGAAAUCGAUUGAAUACCUGCACGUGUCACCUUACACCCCUUCCAAUACCUUUGGGAGUAAUACCUUUAGCCAUGCUGGUGAUCAGAUGAGGGAAGAUCCGAAUUUAUUUAAAUAAAGUUUAUUACUUUAAAGAAUUAUGAACGAAUUAGAUUUUCAAAAACAAUUUCCACGGAACACUUAUUUAUGAUUUGAAC
rnacentral:lncRNA from 1 species